rnacentral:tRNA from 1 species
GGGUCGUUAGCUCAGUUGGUAGAGCAGUUGUACUUUUAAUCAAUUGGUCGCAGGUUCGAAUCCUGCACGACCCACCA